rnacentral:rRNA from 1 species
CUCAGGACGAACGCUGGCGGCGUGCCUAAUACAUGCAAGUCGUACGCUUCUUUUUCCACCGGAGCUUGCUCCACCGGAAAAAGAAGAGUGGCGAACGGGUGAGUAACACGUGGGUAACCUGCCCAUCAGAAGGGGAUAACACUUGGAAACAGGUGCUAAUACCGUAUAACAAUCGAAACCGCAUGGUUUUGAUUUGAAAGGCGCUUUCGGGUGUCGCUGAUGGAUGGACCCGCGGUGCAUUAGCUAGUUGGUGAGGUAACGGCUCACCAAGGCCACGAUGCAUAGCCGACCUGAGAGGGUGAUCGGCCACAUUGGGACUGAGACACGGCCCAAACUCCUACGGGAGGCAGCAGUAGGGAAUCUUCGGCAAUGGACGAAAGUCUGACCGAGCAACGCCGCGUGAGUGAAGAAGGUUUUCGGAUCGUAAAACUCUGUUGUUAGAGAAGAACAAGGAUGAGAGUAACUGUUCAUCCCUUGACGGUAUCUAACCAGAAAGCCACGGCUAACUACGUGCCAGCAGCCGCGGUAAUACGUAGGUGGCAAGCGUUGUCCGGAUUUAUUGGGCGUAAAGCGAGCGCAGGCGGUUUCUUAAGUCUGAUGUGAAAGCCCCCGGCUCAACCGGGGAGGGUCAUUGGAAACUGGGAGACUUGAGUGCAGAAGAGGAGAGUGGAAUUCCAUGUGUAGCGGUGAAAUGCGUAGAUAUAUGGAGGAACACCAGUGGCGAAGGCGGCUCUCUGGUCUGUAACUGACGCUGAGGCUCGAAAGCGUGGGGAGCAAACAGGAUUAGAUACCCUGGUAGUCCACGCCGUAAACGAUGAGUGCUAAGUGUUGGAGGGUUUCCGCCCUUCAGUGCUGCAGCUAACGCAUUAAGCACUCCGCCUGGGGAGUACGACCGCAAGGUUGAAACUCAAAGGAAUUGACGGGGGCCCGCACAAGCGGUGGAGCAUGUGGUUUAAUUCGAAGCAACGCGAAGAACCUUACCAGGUCUUGACAUCCUUUGACCACUCUAGAGAUAGAGCUUCCCCUUCGGGGGCAAAGUGACAGGUGGUGCAUGGUU